rnacentral:tRNA from 1 species
GGGACAGUGGCACAACGGUUAACGCGCCUGACUACGGAUUAGGAGAUUCCUUGUUCGAGACACGGCUGGCUCGUCCU